AGGGCCUUUUAAUGCUUGAUAACUACCCGAGAACAUCUUGAAAUUUUAUUUGCACAAAAGAUGAGAAAUGCAUUUUUCUUUUCCCUUCUUCAUUGCAACAUGGUAGACUAUUCUCCAUUAUAAAUUUUAUCGUUAUUAUUUUUGUACUUUUAGCAUUGACUGAUGUUCACAUGUUGAAAAGGCAGAAAGAAUUCCCUUUUUCAAAUGCAUAGUAUUAGCAAACAUAUGAUAUGUGUAUAGGCAUGCAAAAUACAUCUGGACUGUUAGACCACUGGCAGUAUGCUUGAUUUCGUCUGGCUGUUAUUGUUAAAGCUGGCUCUUUUUUUAAGGUCAUUUUCUAUCAUGAAGUCCACUUUUAGAACAUAAAUCAGUGCAUUUUCAACUUGCGACACAAUGAUCUUGCUUUCCUUUAGUUGCAAUACAAUUUUUUAUUUGAAUUGAUGUCUAGUGAGACUAAAAGCUCAAGUUUUUCUUUUUUCCAAUUCAUGAGGAGGGGGCAAACACAUUGGUGGCUGUUCAGAAACUGUGAAGCUACACGGGAAAGGAGAACUUGAACCUUUGCUGACAGAAAUCAAAAAUAAAAAGGCACAAAGCUAGCUUGCUGAGCAAAUUUUUGUUUAAAGAUUUCAAUAGCCUUGCAAUAUGACUCCGAACUUGCACAUUUGUAGCUUUAUGUUUCAUAUAAGAACGCAGUAAGAACCUUAUUGGCUUGAUUUGUUCAUGAUUAAUUGAUAAUCCAAUUUGAUUUGAGAAAAUGUGUAUUAGUAUGCCUUUCCUCUUGCUGAGGUUAGUUUAUGAUUAUGUGAAUCUAACAGAAAGAUGAAGCAGGUGAAAUAUGUUAUAAGAUAAGAUUUGAAUGGUGAGCUUAAUUUGUUAUCAUCAUUAUAAGUAUUACUUUGUUACAGUCAAAGGGAACAAAAAUACGCAUCAUUGCUAGUUUGCUGUUAAUGUGCUCGUUCGCGUUUAGCACACGUAAGCUCCUUUCUAUUUCCCUUUUGUUGAGUCUAAACAUGAUGUUGUUUUAAAAUAUAUUUUACUAUUUAUGAGUUGUUAAUAAUCUGAAGAAAAAAAUAGGUGUUAAUAAUUGAUUCUUGGACUUGUAUAUGAAUCUACUGUAUUUUUCUCACUUUUCUGAAUAUUGCAAGACCACACAAUCCUUGCUUCUAUACUUAAUUAUUAAUUGUUAUAGACCUAUGUAAUUCAAAGUUUUAAUAUUUUUCUUGAAAAAUUAUUAUGCUUUGUAUUGAAUAAGAAUCAAUACAAAUCUAUAAAUAUGUUUGAGAUUGUUGAAUACGCGGCUGAGAUUUUGUAUUAUUGUAUACUUUAUGUUAUAUGCAUUCUUUCUUUGUUUUAUUAAUAUAUAAUUUGUGUUUGAGGGGCUUGGUAUUUACGAGGAUGCCCAACAGAGACUUUGAAAAUUGGACUGGAAAAUCAAAUUCAAACUUUGAAUCUUUAGGGAUUAUAUUUUAUGGGGUAUAGAACUAUAUCUAGUGAAGUGAUUGAUUUCAAUAUGUGUUUGAUUAUGGUUCUUUGAUUGAAAAAAUGUGUUGAAUAACCCAUGUAUUCUUGAAGCAUUUUUGGAGUGAUUAGGAGAUACAAAUUCCAUUGCUAAUGUCAAGUGGUUGGUCAUCUGUUUCAAGUCUGAAACAAACUAGUUAGUUGCGGCUUACAAACAUUGGAAUAUUGACUACUCUUUCCCAAAGCAAUGGCAAGUACAUGUAUGACUAUGCAACUAUUUCAUUUCUUGCUGAAGUGUUCAAGCUAUGAGUCUCUAGUUUACUACAAUAGAGAGAAUGUCGAGCAUCACCUUAUUUUAAAGAACUAAGACUUUUAAAUUGAGACUGACAGGCUAAAACUCUACUUUGAUAUUUAAGAGAACCAAGACAAUUAUAUAAGAGAACCAAGGCAACAAGAAAUUCUUCUUCAAGUUGUUGGGUAUUAUUUUCUUUCUUGCUUGUAAGAAUUAUGUACAUUGAGGAUUUGAUGUAUAAUUUACAUUGAGAAUAAUGAAUUUUUAUUGAGAAUUAUAAUAAAUUUUUAUUGAGAAUUGUUUAGUCUCAUAGGGAUUUGAUGUAUUAUUUACAUUUCAAUUGAAUGAAUAAAUGUUGUAUG